rnacentral:rRNA from 1 species
ACGAACGUUGGCGGCAUGCCUAACACAUGCAAGUCGAACGAGGCCUUCGGGUCUAGUGGCGCACGGGUGCGUAACGCGUGGGAAUCUGCCCUUGGGUUCGGAAUAACAGUGAGAAAUUACUGCUAAUACCGGAUGAUGACGUAAGUCCAAAGAUUUAUCGCCCAAGGAUGAGCCCGCGUAAGAUUAGCUAGUUGGUGGGGUAAAGGCCUACCAAGGCUACGAUCUUUAGCUGGUCUGAGAGGAUGAUCAGCCACACUGGGACUGAGACACGGCCCAGACUCCUACGGGAGGCAGCAGUGGGGAAUAUUGGACAAUGGGCGAAAGCCUGAUCCAGCAAUGCCGCGUGAGUGAUGAAGGCCUUAGGGUUGUAAAGCUCUUUUACCAGGGAUGAUAAUGACAGUACCUGGAGAAUAAGCUCCGGCUAACUCCGU